AUGUCAAGCCAGACUACAAUUCUCUUCGCGUGUUUGGCUGCGCUUGUUGGCCCAAUCUUAGACCAUACAACAACCGCAAGCUCAUGUAUCGAUCUAAACAAUGUGUUUUCAUCGAAUAUAGUGCACAACACAAAGGAGUCAAGUGCCUCGAUGUCUCCACCGGCCGUGUCUACAUCUCACGCGAUGUCGUGUUUGAUGAAACCAAAUUUCCUUUUGUUGAUCUUCAUCCCAAUGCCGGUGCACUCCUUAGGAAAGAAAUUCUUCUCCUUCCAUUGCAUCUCUCCGGUCUUGAUCAUGGGGGGGGGAAUAAUUGUGAUGAUCAUACGUUGA
rnacentral:rRNA from 1 species